rnacentral:rRNA from 1 species
GAUGAACGCUGGCGGCGUGCCUAAUACAUGCAAGUCGAGCGAACGGACGAGAAGCUUGCUUCUCUGAUGUUAGCGGCGGACGGGUGAGUAACACGUGGAUAACCUACCUAUAAGACUGGGAUAACUUCGGGAAACCGGAGCUAAUACCGGAUAAUAUUUUGAACCGCAUGGUUCAAAAGUGAAAGACGGUCUUGCUGUCACUUAUAGAUGGAUCCGCGCUGCAUUAGCUAGUUGGUAAGGUAACGGCUUACCAAGGCAACGAUGCAUAGCCGACCUGAGAGGGUGAUCGGCCACACUGGAGCUGAGACACGGUCAAGACUCCUACGGGAGGCAGCAGACGGGAAUCUUCCGCAGUGGGCGAAAGCCUGACGGAGCAACGCCGCGUGAGUGAUGAAGGUCUUCGGAUCGUAAAAAUCUGUUAUGAGGGAAGAACAUAUGUGUAAGUAACUGUGCACAUCUUGACGGUACCUAAUCAGAAAGCCACGGCUAACUACGUG